rfam:Gossypium hirsutum cultivar TM-1 unplaced genomic scaffold scaffold559.1, whole genome shotgun sequence
UGUUAAAAAUUUCAUCCAUUUCUACUGUUAAAAACGGGCAUGGCUAAGACGAAAUAACCAGAUAAUUACAUGUGGUGUGUCAUGUGUACCUCAUGAUGACGUACAUGGACUAGUUUUUAAUAGUAAAAAUGAAAUAAAUUUUUAACA